rnacentral:tRNA from 1 species
UAGAAUAUUGUGUAAUUAGGUAGCACGAAGAAUUUUGAGUUCUUAAGUAUAGGUUCGAUUCCUGUAAUUCUAG